rnacentral:rRNA from 1 species
CCUACGGGAGGCAGCAGUGGGGAAUAUUGGACAAUGGGGGGAACCCUGAUCCAGCCAUGCCGCGUGUGUGAAGAAGGCCCUCGGGUUGUAAAGCACUUUCAGUGAGGAAGAACGCCUGGUGGUUAAUACCCAUCAGGAAAGACAUCACUCACAGAAGAAGCACCGGCUAACUCCGUGCCAGCAGCCGCGGUAAUAUGGAGGGUGCGAGCGUUAAUCGGAAUUACUGGGCGUAAAGCGCGCGUAGGUGGCUUGAUAAGCCGGUUGUGAAAGCCCCGGGCUCAACCUGGGAACGGCAUCCGGAACUGUCAAGCUAGAGUGCAGGAGAGGAAGGUAGAAUUGCCGGUGUAGCGGUGAAAUGCGUAGAGAGCGGGAGGAUUACCAGUGGCGAAGGCGGCCUUCUGGACUGACACUGACACUGAGGUGCGAGAGCGUGGGUAGCAAACAGGAUUAGAUACCCGUGUAGUA